GGGGAUGUAGCUCAGCGGUAGAGCGCUCGCUUUGCAUGCGAGAGGCCCCGGGUUCAAUCCCCGGCAUCUCCA
rnacentral:tRNA from 1 species